AUUUUAUUAAAUUUUACAGUUGAUCAGAUUACUCUAUCUUGUUCUCAACUAUUGCAUUAGUAGUUGCAAAAUAAUUUUCAAAUUUUUAUAAUCUUGAAAAGAUAUAAAAAAUUUAUAUAAAAUGAAUGCCCUUACUUGUGCUCUUCUCGUUCUUGCGUGCGCUCUUAUGAGUGUCGAAGCGUUACGGAAUUAUACUGAGCCCACCACCCGCCGUCGCUUCAGGUA